rnacentral:rRNA from 1 species
CUCCUCGAUUCAGCGGCGGACGGGUGAGUAAUGCCUAGGAAUCUGCCUAGUAGUGGGGGACAACGUUUCGAAAGGAACGCUAAUACCGCAUACGUCCUACGGGAGAAAGUGGGGGAUCUUCGGACCUCACGCUAUUAGAUGAGCCUAGGUCGGAUUAGCUAGUUGGUAGGGUAAAGGCCUACCAAGGCGACGAUCCGUAACUGGUCUGAGAGGAUGAUCAGUCACACUGGAACUGAGACACGGUCCAGACUCCUACGGGAGGCAGCAGUGGGGAAUAUUGGACAAUGGGCGAAAGCCUGAUCCAGCCAUGCCGCGUGUGUGAAGAAGGCCUUCGGGUCGUAAAGCACUUUAAGUUGGGAGGAAGGGCUCAUAGCGAAUACCUGUGAGUUUUGACGUUACCAACAGAAUAAGCACCGGCUAACUUCGUGCCAGCAGCCGCGGUAAUACGAAGGGUGCAAGCGUUAAUCGGAAUUACUGGGCGUAAAGCGCGCGUAGGUGGCUUGAUAAGUUGGAUGUGAAAUCCCCGGGCUCAACCUGGGAACUGCAUCCAAAACUGUCUGGCUAGAGUGCGGUAGAGGGUAGUGGAAUUUCCAGUGUAGCGGUGAAAUGCGUAGAUAUUGGAAGGAACACCAGUGGCGAAGGCGACUACCUGGACUGACACUGACACUGAGGUGCGAAAG